CUCUGCAGGUGAUAUCAUAUUUCACAAAAAUACAGAUUUUUUCUGAUAUUGGGCCCCUAACUAAUACAUCCACUUUGGAAAACAACUCUUUCUCUCACCAUGCAAUUUCUCUAUCCUGAAAUAUAAGAUAUGCUGGGAAUUCCAGCACAAAAUAUGGGGUAAAAGAAAUGACACAUGCAUCCUCCUUAAUCAUAGGGAGAUAUUGUGUUACCUAUUUUUGGCUUUGUGAUUGGGUUGACUGGAGGCAUUAGUGGCAGGUGCGCAUGUGAUUGAGGCCUAGGGGCAUUGAUAGGUGAGGAGGGGGAGUUAAUAAACCUACAAUCCUUUAUAAUUUGUGACAAGUUGGAAUGCUUCAGUUAUUUCAGGAUGAAGGAGUACCAUUGAAAAGGGAGGAGUUUCUUGUCGUGUAUAAAUAUGUUAGUUUGUUUUGUGCGCAGCAAAAUAUGUUACUUUUAAAAAUUGUGCAAGUUUAUUUCGACCAUGGUGUUGAAACAUGUAAUUCAACUAAUGUUGUUGGCUGAAUAGUUUCAUAAGUAAAGCAAAAAAAACAAUAGUCAUGUACUAAUUUCAGGACAAGAAUGAUUGUAGGAGUAGGAUCUAGGCAUAUUUUUCGUGGUUUGGUGGUGAUCAUCCAAUGAAAAGGCGAUGCUUGUUGUGUAAGGUCUUCUACACUGGUUCUUGCUCGUGGUGGUCGUCGCUGGCGCCUUCCUCACCUUUUCUGUGGAUUUUUGUAGGUCUUAACAAUCGGGCGACGCCUGCCCAUCCAUCCUCUCCCCAGUGUAGUCCCAACAGUAAAAGGGGACAACACCAUCCCUUCUGUGUAUGGACCGUAGCCCCGUAGCAUUGUAUGUUUGAUUAAAAUGUAGCCCCCAAAAUAGUGUUACUUGGAUAAAUUUUCUAGCUUUAGUAUUCAAAAGGGUGUCGAUUGCCAAGUAUUCAACUCUAUUUUUUCUGUUAUCAAUUAUGUUCUCACUGUACUGUACAUAUUCAAGAAGUUGCUGGUUUUAAUAAUGUAAUAUCCAGAAUUUAGAUUUUCAAAAAAUCCCAUAGAAAUCAUACCAGUGAUAUAGCCAAAGCUCAUACUGACUGACCAUUCUUUAUCCGCACAUGCCCACUCUAGCUUGCAGUGAAAGAGUUACAGAAGAUUAAUUCUUUCAAAGCACCACGGGAGAUGCUUCUGUGCAUCAUGAGCUACUGUCAGAUCAUAAAUAACUUGCUUCUGAACAUUCUUAAUAGAGAGAUGGAUGGAAUCACAUGCAUAUAAGAGAAACAUUCUUCUUAUUCUUGAUUUAGUUGGUACUUGUACAUCAAUUGGAGAUGGAAUCCUUAUGCCUGUUGUAUCUGUUACUCAUCGUCACUUUUUUUAUGAUGCUAACCAUUACAUUGUUUUUUUACUAAAUCUGAUGGUUUUAGGAUGCCACUUAUGGACUAUGGUUUUGUGGUUUCUGUAGUUCUAUAUGCAUCAGGUAGCACUAGGGUCCAGAUUCAGAAUAUGAGUACUGGUAUGUAUUUUCCAUUUUAUAUUUUUUCAGUAUUGCCACUAUAUCUGCAACCUACUCAAUCAUAAAUCAAGAUCUUGCACUUGGUUGCUUCCCCAGCGUGAAGAUGGUCAACAUUAGACUGCAAUCUAAAUUGUUUACUGUGAACUAGAACUUCUGCAUACACAUAUGUGGAUUUGUACAUGUACAAAAUCCGCAAUGCCUCAGAUUUUAUGCGCCCUCGGCAACUGGCGGAAUCCAAGGUGGCCUGAUAGAAAAGGGGCUUCCCUCGCUCAUCUUGUAGGCUACAGCUACAAAUCAGAUAAUAAAACUCUAUUAGAAAAUGCUAGAUGCUGAAGGUAGGGAGAAAGAGAAUCUUGAAGAAGAAAUAGGUGUUUUGAGAAGUCAGUUAUUGCAUAUGAGUAUGGAAGUCGAUGAGACAAGAAGUCUUGAUAAAGGAGAUGGGCCCAAAAAAAUUUCCUGGUUUAGAUUAAUUGGUGUCUUAGACUCGAGGUUCGCAACCCAGAGAGCAGAGCAAUGGACUGAAACAACCAAUUGCCAAAUUCUUUGAACAAGAUGUGCGCACAUGGGGAAUGUGGGUUGAGAAUUGAGAUCACCAGUUACUUGUGCCUUUGGGGUAUUAGAUCAUGGUGGGUGUUAUGUCUUGGUCAUUUUUAUCAUCUUAAUUGCAGUUAGAUUGGUAAAUUUUGCUCACGUCUUAACAUUUGACCUUUUAUUUUAGAGUUAACAUCAGUGGUCUGAGCUUGCCUUGUAGAAGUUAUUCACAAGUCAUCAAGUUACAUUAGUUCAGGCUUAGAAGAUGUACUACUUGACUUGUAUUCGACCUAUUGCAGUUCUCAUCGAUAGACCCUUCCAUCUG